rnacentral:rRNA from 1 species
GUGGGGAAUAUUGCGCAAUGGGCGAAAGCCUGACGCAGCGACGCCGCGUGAGGGAUGAAGGUUUUCGGAUCGUAAACCUCUGUCAGAAGGGAAGAAGUUGCAUGGGGCCAAUCACCUGUGCAUUGACGGUACCUUCAAAGGAAGCACCGGCUAACUCCGUGCCAGCAGCCGCGGUAAUACGGAGGGUGCGAGCGUUAAUCGGAAUUACUGGGCGUAAAGCGCACGUAGGCUGUAUGUCAAGUCAAGGGUGAAAUCCCACGGCUCAACCGUGGAACUGCCUUUGAAACUGGCAAACUGGAGUAUGUGAGAGGGCGGCGGAAUUCCUGGUGUAGGAGUGAAAUCCGUAGAUAUCAGGAGGAACAUCAGUGGCGAAGGCGGCCGCCUGGCACAAAACUGACGCUGAGGUGCGAAAGCGUGGGUAGCAAACAGG